CUGGCGGCAGGCUUAACACAUGCAAGUCGAGCGGGGGAAGGUAGCUUGCUACCGGACCUAGCGGCGGACGGGUGAGUAAUGCUUAGGAAUCUGCCUAUUAGUGGGGGACAACAUUCCGAAAGGAAUGCUAAUACCGCAUACGCCCUACGGGGGAAAGCAGGGGAUCUUCGGACCUUGCGCUAAUAGAUGAGCCUAAGUCGGAUUAGCUAGUUGGUGGGGUAAAGGCCUACCAAGGCGACGAUCUGUAGCGGGUCUGAGAGGAUGAUCCGCCACACUGGGACUGAGACACGGCCCAGACUCCUAC
rnacentral:rRNA from 13 species